GUGAGAGGACAGUCCCGGGAACAAGUCGGCAUGAGGCCUGGCACCUGGGAGGCUUUCAGAAAGCUGGUUGGAUGAGCCCAGAAGGCGUCGUGUGUCGGUGACUACAUGCCACAGAAGACGCAGUAGAACGUGAAUUGGCUCAGCAGUCGGAGCCCUAGACCACAAGUCGGAGAUGAAGUUUCUGGAAGCACCACACUUCUCCCUAAGGCUGCAGGGUCAAACCCUCCUUGCUGCUUCCUGGUUUUGGUAGUUCCAGGAAAUCCCAGCCUUCCAGCAUCUCUGUCUCCAUCUUUCCAAGGAGAAAGCAAACUGGUGCUUCUAAGCUACUACUUGAGCCAGGCACGAAGGAGACAGCAUCCUGUGCCAUUACCACAGCAAGUGAGGAGGAAGCAGUGAAGGAGAGACAGAGGUGGAGUCAUGUAGAUCUGCUCUCCCAGGGUUAUGACUCACACUUCAGUUUCUGGUUUACCACUCACAACCCAAGCUGGUCUAUAAUUGAACUGGAAGAUCAUGGAUUUGGCUAAAGUGACUGGCCAUCGAGAUUUAAAGCUUACUCUCCCCACAAAACAAAACAAACCCAAAAGGCAAAAAGCCCUGGUAUUGUGGGCAUAAGCCGGUGUGUCCAUCCGAGACCUGAUCUGGCGCCCUUGUGUCUGCACAUCAGCACCUUACUGACUGACCCAUCAUCCAGCCCCUUCACACAGGCCUUCAAUUACUCACUAAGAAAAUGCACACUGGGGAGUAUAGGGCUGUGAGUCUGGAUGUACACAAAUGUACCAGCUGACACUGUUACAACAUGUGCAAGCCAGGCUGGCUUUACUUACCAGGCAGAAGUCAUGGGUUUCACAUUAAUACAAUGCCCUCGGGUUCAGUGAUAA
rnacentral:lncRNA from 1 species